rnacentral:tRNA from 3 species
GCGCCUGUAGCUCAGCUGGAUAGAGCAACGGCCUUCUAAGCCGUGGGUCGGGGGUUCGAAUCCCUUCGGGCGCGCCA